AGAGUUUGAUCCUGGCUCAGGAUGAACGCUGGCGGCGUGCCUAAUACAUGCAAGUCGAGCGAACGGACGAGAAGCUUGCUUCUCUGAUGUUAGCGGCGGAAGGGUGAGUAACACGUGGAUAACCUACCUAUAAGACUGGGAUAACUUCGGGAAACCGGAGCUAAUACCGGAUAAUAUUUUGAACCGCAUGGUUCAAAAGUGAAAGACGGUCUUGCUGUCACUUAUAGAUGGAUCCGCGCUGCAUUAGCUAGUUGGUAAGGUAACGGCUUACCAAGGCAACGAUGCAUAGCCGACCUGAGAGGGUGAUCGGCCACACUGGAACUGAGACACGGUCCAGACUCCUACGGGAGGCAGCAGUAGGGAAUCUUCCGCAAUGGGCGAAAGCCUGACGGAGCAACGCCGCGUGAGUGAUGAAGGUCUUCGGAUCGUAAAACUCUGUUAUUAGGGAAGAACAUAUGUGUAAGUAACUGUGCACAUCUUGACGGUACCUAAUCAGAAAGCCACGGCUAACUACGUGCCAGCAGCCGCGGUAAUACGUAGGUGGCAAGCGUUAUCCGGAAUUAUUGGGCGUAAAGCGCGCGUAGGCGGUUUUUUAAGUCUGAUGUGAAAGCCCACGGCUCAACCGUGGAGGGUCAUUGGAAACUGGAAAACUUGAGUGCAGAAGAGGAAAGUGGAAUUCCAUGUGUAGCGGUGAAAUGCGCAGAGAUAUGGAGGAACACCAGUGGCGAAGGCGACUUUCUGGUCUGUAACUGACGCUGAUGUGCGAAAGCGUGGGGAUCAAACAGGAUUAGAUACCCUGGUAGUCCACGCCGUAAACGAUGAGUGCUAAGUGUUAGGGGGUUUCCGCCCCUUAGUGCUGCAGCUAACGCAUUAAGCACUCCGCCUGGGGAGUACGACCGCAAGGUUGAAACUCAAAGGAAUUGACGGGGACCCGCACAAGCGGUGGAGCAUGUGGUUUAAUUCGAAGCAACGCGAAGAACCUUACCAAAUCUUGACAUCCUUUGACAACUCUAGAGAUAGAGCCUUCCCCUUCGGGGGACAAAGUGACAGGUGGUGCAUGGUUGUCGUCAGCUCGUGUCGUGAGAUGUUGGGUUAAGUCCCGCAACGAGCGCAACCCUUAAGCUUAGUUGCCAUCAUUAAGUUGGGCACUCUAAGUUGACUGCCGGUGACAAACCGGAGGAAGGUGGGGAUGACGUCAAAUCAUCAUGCCCCUUAUGAUUUGGGCUACACACGUGCUACAAUGGACAAUACAAAGGGCAGCGAAACCGCGAGGUCAAGCAAAUCCCAUAAAGUUGUUCUCAGUUCGGAUUGUAGUCUGCAACUCGACUACAUGAAGCUGGAAUCGCUAGUAAUCGUAGAUCAGCAUGCUACGGUGAAUACGUUCCCGGGUCUUGUACACACCGCCCGUCACACCACGAGAGUUUGUAACACCCGAAGCCGGUGGAGUAACCUUUUAGGAGCUAGCCGUCGAAGGUGGGACAAAUGAUUGGGGUGAAGUCGUAACAAGGUAGCCGUAUCGGAAGGUGCGGCUG
rnacentral:rRNA from 1 species